UGAUAUGUUCGUAGUGUGGCGAGCAGGAUAAAUUAAAGAAGCACACGACAAGA
ncrna:unclassified sequences 6A RNA